rnacentral:lncRNA from 10 species
CUGAUGGGUUGGUCCUAAUCUCUACUUGAUUCCUGGGCACUCACAAGGCUUUUGUCAUCCUUUUGGCACCCCCUCUGGGGCUAUCAUGCUGUGGAACAGGAUGUCCCACCUGACGUUUUGACCCUUGGAUGCUGGCACAUUCUUGACUUUGCCAAUUCUUUGACAGUGAUGUCUUCUAGCAGCUCUCCCCGCCCAUGCCUAAGAAUCUGCUGCCCUUUCAAGAUUCCGAUACCCUUGGAAAAG